rnacentral:rRNA from 1 species
GAUGAAUGCUGGCGGCGUGCCUAACACAUGCAAGUCGAGCGGCAGCGCGUUUUCCACUGAAUUCUGGAAGCUUCUGAGUAGUACAGAAGAUUUAUUCAAGAGUUUUGUGUAAAAUGUCGGCGAGCGGCGGACGGCUGAGUAACGCGUAGGAAUUUGCCCCAAAGUGAGGAAUAACUGCCCGAAAGGGUAGCUAAUGCCGCAUAUGGUCUUCGGAUUAAAGCCUUCGGGCGCUUUGGGAGAAGCCUGCGUUGGAUUAGGUAGUUGGUAGGGUAAUGGCCUACCAAGCCGACGAUCCAUAGCUGGUCUGAGAGGAUGAUCAGCCAGACUGGAACUGAGACACGGUCCAGACUCCUACGGGAGGCAGCAGUGAGGAAUCUUCCACAAUGGGCGAAAGCCUGAUGGAGCAACGCCGCGUGAAGGAUGAAGGCCUUCGGGUUGUAAACUUCUUUUAUGAGUGAAGAAUAUGACGGUAACUCAUGAAUAAGCACCGGCUAACUACGUG